rnacentral:rRNA from 1 species
UACAGGGGGUGCAAGCGUUGUUCGGAAUCACUGGGCGUAAAGGGAGCGUAGGCGGAACGACAAGUCAGAAGUCAAAGCCUCGGGCUCAACCCGAGAAUUGCUUUUGAGACUGUCGUUCUUGAGUAUGGCAGAGGUUGGCGGAAUUUCCGGUGUAGCGGUGGAAUGCGUAGAGAUCGGAAAGAACACCAGAGGCGAAGGCGGCCAACUGGGCCAAUACUGACGCUGAGGCUCGAAAGCGUGGGGAGCAAACAGG